rnacentral:rRNA from 1 species
GACGAACGCUGGCGGCGUGCUUAACACAUGCGAGUCGAACGGAAAGGCCUGCUUUCCCUUGUGGAUUGCGGGUACUCGAGUGGCGAACGGGUGAGUAACACGUGAGUGAUCUGCCCCCAACUUGGGUAUAAGCCUGGGAAACUGGGUCUAAUUCCCGAUAGGACUGCAGGGUGGUGCCUGUGGUGGAAAACGAUUUUCUAGUGGUUGGGGAUGAGCUCGCGGCCUAUCAGCUUGUUGGUGGGGUAAUGGCCUACCAAGGCGGCGACGGGUAGCCGGCCUGGGAGGGUGGACGGGCACAUUGGGACUGGGAUACGGCCCAGACUCCGACGGGAGGCAGCAGUGGGGAAUAUUGCACAAUGGGCGGAAGCCUGAUGCAGCGGCGCCGCGUGGGGAUGACGGCCUUCGGGUUGUAAACUCCUUUCGACCGCGAGGAAGCCACCUGGUUGGAAGGGUGGUGACGGUAGUGGUAGAAGAAGCACCGGCUAACUACGUG